rnacentral:rRNA from 1 species
UGCCAGACUCCUACGGGAGGCAGCAGUGGGGGAUAUUGCACAAUGGGGGAAACCCUGAUGCAGCGACGCCGCGUGAGUGAAGAAGUAAUUCGUUACGUAAAGCUCUAUCAGCAGGGAAGAAAAUGACGGUACCUGACUAAGAAGCCCCGGCUAACUACGUGCCAGCAGCCGCGGUAAUACGUAGGGGGCAAGCGUUAUCCGGAUUUACUGGGUGUAAAGGGAGCGUAGACGGCGGUGCAAGCCAGAUGUGAAAGCCCGGGGCUCAACCCCGGGACUGCAUUUGGAACUGUGCUGCUAGAUUGUCGGAGAGGCAGGCGGAAUUCCUAGUGUAGCGGUGAAAUGCGUAGAUAUUAGGAGGAACACCAGUGGCGAAGGCGGCCUGCUGGACGAUGACUGCCGUUGAGGCUCGAAAGCGUGGGGAGCACCCAGGAUUAGAUACCCCCGUAU